rnacentral:rRNA from 1 species
GAACGCGAAGAACCUUACCCGGGCUUGAAUUGCAGAGGAAGGAUUUAGAGAUAAUGACGCCCUUCGGGGUCUCUGUGAAGGUGCUGCAUGGUUGUCGUCAGCUCGUGCCGUGAGGUGUCGGCUUAAGUGCCAUAACGAGCGCAACCCCUCUCUUCAGUUGCCAUCAGGUAGUGCUGGGCACUCUGGAGACACUGCCACCGUAAGGUGUGAGGAAGGUGGGGAUGACGUCAAAUCAGCACGGCCCUUACGUCCGGGGCUACACACGUGUUACAAUGGCCGGUACAGAGGGACGGUGUAAUGCAAAUUGCAUCCAAUCUUGAAAGCCGGUCCCAGUUCGGACUGGGGUCUGCAACCCGACCCCACGAAGCUGGAUUCGCUAGUAAUCGCGCAUCAGCCAUGGCGCGGUGAAUACGUUCCCGGGUCUUGUACACACC